GACGAACGCUGGCGGCGUGCUUAACACAUGCAAGUCGAACGGAAAGGCCCUGCUUGCAGGGUACUCGAGUGGCGAACGGGUGAGUAACACGUGGGUGAUCUGCCCUGCACUUCGGGAUAAGCUUGGGAAACUGGGUCUAAUACCGGAUAGGAACCAUCUUUAGUGUGGUGGUUGGAAAGUUUUUUCGGUGUAGGAUGAGCUCGCGGCCUAUCAGCUUGUUGGUGGGGUAAUGGCCUACCAAGGCGGCGACGGGUAGCCGGCCUGAGAGGGUGUACGGCCACAUUGGGACUGAGAUACGGCCCAGACUCCUACGGGAGGCAGCAGUGGGGAAUAUUGCACAAUGGGCGCAAGCCUGAUGCAGCGACGCCGCGGGGGGGAUGAAGGCCUUCGGGUUGUAAACUCCUUUCGCUAGGGACGAAGCUUUUUGUGACGGUACCUAGAUAAGAAGCACCGGCUAACUACGUG
rnacentral:rRNA from 1 species